rnacentral:rRNA from 1 species
GGCAUGGGGCUGCUACCAUGCAGUCGAGCGAUGAAGCUCCUUCGGGAGUGGAUUAGCGGCGGACGGGUGAGUAACACGUGGGUAACCUGCCUCAUAGAGGGGAAUAGCCUCCCGAAAGGGAGAUUAAUACCGCAUAAAGUAUGAAGGUCGCAUGACUUUUAUACCAAAGGAGCAAUCCGCUAUGAGAUGGACCCGCGGCGCAUUAGCUAGUUGGUGAGGUAAAGGCUCACCAAGGCGACGAUGCGUAGCCGACCUGAGAGGGUGAUCGGCCACAUUGGAACUGAGACACGGUCCAGACUCCUACGGGAGGCAGCAGUGGGGAAUAUUGCGCAAUGGGGGAAACCCUGACGCAGCAACGCCGCGUGAAUGAAGAAGGCCUUAGGGUUGUAAAGUUCUGUCAUAUGGGAAGAUAAUGACGGUACCAUAUGAGGAAGCCACGGCUAACUACGUGCCAGCAGCCGCGGUAAUACGUAGGUGGCAAGCGUUGUCCGGAUUUACUGGGCGUAAAGGAUGCGUAGGCGGACAUUUAAGUCAGAUGUGAAAUACCCGAGCUCAACUUGGGUGCUGCAUUUGAAACUGGGUGUCUAGAGUGCAGGAGAGGAAAGCGGAAUUCCUAGUGUAGCGGUGAAAUGCGUAGAGAUUAGGAAGAACACCAGUGGCGAAGGCGGCUUUCUGGACUGUAACUGACGCUGAGGCAUGAAAGCGUGGGGAGCAAACAGGAUUAGAUACACUGGUGUCCACGCCGUAAACGAUGAAUACUAAGGUGUAGGAGGUAUCGACCCCUUCUGUGCCG